GAAAAUUAUUCAGACUACGGCGUUUAUAUGUUCAACAAUAGGAAACAUAGUUUUAACAGUUUUAAAAUUACACCAAGUUUAUUUCGGAUUAUUCCAACGGAAGAAUACAAGGCGCAGGGAACUUUGAGGUGGAGCUGGAGGGCUGGGUGCGUUCGUGGGAAAACCCCCAUGGUGUCCCAUCAGCGGACAUAUCCUGGCUAAAAGAGGACACAGAACGAGGCCUGUUCACCGCUGUUCAGAUAUUUAAACACAAAUCUGGUCAGUUAAAGAGGCGACGGGUGAUCAAAUCCGACCGGAUGUGGUUUUAUCCACCUGAACCGCCUCGCUAUGUGAAGGGAGCUGCGCCAACACACCUUUUUUUCCGGAGCCGUGUAUUUGUGUGGCGUCCGGUUGGAGUUUGGCGAUACUCCCUGAAGUGCCCUCGAGGGGAUGACUACGUCGGGCACGGGAGGGAUGUGCACCUCUACAAGUCUGGCUUUCACCACCGGGUACGUCACAUUUGAUGUGUCCGGCUGGUACACAUCGGUCACUGAGGUCCUGUGCUGUGGACCCUGCACAAAGGCCACCAGGAGCGGAGGAGGUGGCACAGUGGGCCGAUGGCUCGCAUGGGACCGUGCUAUUCGAUCUCAACUUAGUGAGGCUCAUCAAGCUCGGUUCCCUGCCGUCCGCACCAGCAAGUGGUCAAGAAGCUGUGUGGGGAAGGUCGCGGUUCACCAGCAUUGGGAACGAGCACUCACAGAUAGUGACCUUUGUGCUGACUUGUGAGGAGUCCACUCCGCGGCUCACGCCCAUGUGCAGUGGAGUCAUGGAGAGGUUCCGGCUGGCCAGUCAGCCUGUCCAGAAGCUCCUCUACGUGGACCGUGGGUGUUGCCGGUCUCAGGGCACAACAGGAGUGCGGCUGGACAUCUUCCACUGGAUCCACAGAUUUGACGCGGAGUCCCACUGUAAGUAUGCAGUGUUCAAGUCUGCUCUAGCUGGGGCAGUUUUGGCCCACAACCGCCCGGACCUGGAGCUGCUCAUGAAAGCCAUCAGAGCCAAGAACCCGGAGAGUCUCGGACGAGGACAUUGUCCGCUGCCACAUCUCCAGGGAUCAGCUCAAGCACCAUAGGCUAUCGAUGAGAUGUGGGCAGGCCAGCUGGAGUGCAUCCAGGAUCCACCAGGCAUGAACAUGUAUAGGGUGGCGCGUAGCACAACUAUCAAUAAUGUGGACGUGCCCCAUUACAAAUGUCUGCGUGGAAGCAACAGCCUGGAAGGAUUCCACAAAUCGCUGCCACACAUGAUUCCAGGGCCCCAUUGUGCAGCACGGCCCUAUCAGGUUUACCUGAUGAGUGGCAUUGCUCGGUGGAAUUCGGACAGGAGUUUGGACGCCGUGUUUGGUGGCAAAGGACAGAAUCACAGGAAAUACUCUGCGCCGCUCAUUCACCGCCUCAACACCCGCUGUCAGCAGCUGUUUGGCGAGACUGGAGGAGAAUUUCCGGGCCCCCGCCAAUGUUGCUUCCAACGAGUUGCUUGGGUUGGAAUAUUUAUUCAGCCAACGCACGGGUGUAUCCGAACCCUUUUCCCUGGUGGACAUCAUCAAUGAUGGACCUGGUCCAGAGGAGGAGGUGGUUCAGCACGGGCAGCCCGAUCCAGAGGCUGACGAGGCGUACCAGAGCGACGGGGAGGCUGGUGGCAACGUGUUGGAUGCCAUCCUGCCCCACAUUAAUCUCACCAGCGACGAAACUGCAACUCUUCACCCUCCAGCCUCUGGUACAAACCAAAGACCAAGUCACAGCAUAUGCAGCGAGAGCGAACUGGUCCAAAACCGGGCUUUUUAAAGAGCCCAGCCAGCUGCGACCACUGACGAGGGGGUGGAUGGCUGCAGUCCAAACCCGCUUCCUGGCUUUGAAAAGCUAUAAAAGUUCUGUUCUGGUGGCAAUCAGCCCGACAGAGGACAAGCUGACGCUUUCCACUGAGCAGAGGAACGAGGUCCUUGAAUCCCGGAAUGCUGUGGAGGAGCACGACAAGCAGCCGCAGCAGUUCAACCAGCUGUACAGAAGGAUCCGAUCCUCUGCAAGGCCGGCAUUCCUCUGCCAAAGAUCAACGUCAAAACUGUGCAGGACUUCACCCGGCGUCAGGAGCGCCUCCUGAACAUGAAUCCCACAAAACAGUCCUCUACUGUAACGAAGAUCACCUCCAUUUCAUCUGCUGACCUCCCUCGAGCACUACACCAGCCGUCAGUCCUCCACCACUCUACCCUCUGAUGGAGUACGGGGCCAUCCCCAGCACAGCAGGGACUACGGUGUUGAAGGGAAGGACGGACAUGAUGAUGGCUCUCUUCCGGCCUCUACCACCACUGCAACUCCUGCAACCGCUGGCGGCUGUAAAAAAAAAAUCCUGCCACCUCCACCAUCUCCAGACCUGUACCCUCCAUGUCCAGCUCCGCAGCCGACACGGAGUGCGCUGGCCCCUCCACUCGGCCAAUAUUGCCUGCAAAUCCUCCUGCAUCACUGCCAUCUCUGUCCACAAUGCCUACUGCUUGUGAUUUAAGUUCACCAUCCUGGGCAAGAUCCACGCAGUACAAGCGAAAGAGUAUGGAACAUCCCUCUGCAGUUGGAGUCGAGGUGUCGCGGGUGCACAAACUCCCUCUCUGUACAUGAC
ensembl:lncRNA